ACAGGAACAUCACUUCUCACAGAUGGAGGGUCUAGAGAGGAAUGAGUGGGGGAUGUGGUCAGACUCAAAGAUUUGGACAGGUGGAGUCAUACUGGAGCCCUACACAAAAGACCUCCAAGGGAGCGAAGAGAUCAAAGACAAUAUAGAAGGAAGAGAAAACAGAAAAUCCAAGCAGUGGAGACACAAGAACAGAAUGACAAAGAAAAUGUAUUCCAUGAGACACAGUGUCUCUUAGUGGCCUCUGACAAGAAACACUGCCUCCAGGAAUGAAGGUAUUGGAGAAUGACAAGAGUGGUGGGAGAAAAUCAACUGUUUUGACCUAAGAUUCCAGGCAAAGAAGGUUGCUGAGGUAAUACAAUGAGAUAAUGACCUGCAUUGGAGUAUGGAAGGACAAGAUUGACUACCACCUACAUCAAUAAUUAUAUAUGCAUUGGUUUCCACAGUUGGAUCCAGAAUAAAUCAUUUACAACAUUGCCUUGGAAUAACAUUGUCUUCAGAAGCAAGCAAGUACCUUAGGGGCUAACCAAAGAUGAGAAAAGGAAUUCCUACCCAACCAUCAAUAUUUGGGUGAGCUGGAGCAGCACUGUAUUCCAUAAAAGCCCACGACAGCAUACUGUUUUGACCAUUGGAAGGCAGAUUUCCUCAAUAUACAUUGUGAUCAUUGCUUUUGUCGUUUCCUCAAAGUGCUUUCCUCUUCCUAAUAACUUUACCUCCAUCUGCAUGGGGUUAGCUUGAGCCAGCUUUCUAUCAUCCAGGACCCAGUCUCCUUCAGACACUGAGGCAGUUGGACAAUAGCAUUGUCUCCGUUAGAUCUGAAAAAGAUGUAGAGCUGGAUGUCAUCAGCAUAUUGAUGACACUGUAAUCCAUGAUGAUGCAUGACCUCCCCUAACAGUCUUACUCUCUUGCAGUGUCAUAACAGACAGGGAUGUUUGAACCCCUGGGACUUCACAGGAGAGAGCCUAUGGGGAUGUAUAGUUGCCUAUUGUCAUCCUCUGAGACUUAUCCAAAGAAUGAGCAGAAAGAUAUUGCUACAUUCCAAUGUAAAGGCAUGCCUACU